rnacentral:tRNA from 5 species
GCGGCUGUGGCGAAAUUGGUAGACGCACCAGAUUUAGGUUCUGGCGGGAGACCGUGGGGGUUCGAGUCCCUCCAGCCGCACCA